rnacentral:misc_RNA from 1 species
GAUGAAGAACGCAGCGAAAUGCGAUAAGUAGUGUGAAUUGCAGAAUUCAGUGAAUCAUCGAAUCUUUGAACGCACAUUGCGCCUCCUGGUAUUCCGGGAGGCAUGCCUGUUCGAGCGUCAUCAAAAACCUCAACCCAUGAUUUAUUGUGAGUUGGUUCUGCAUUGGACUCCUUGUGGGUCCUUUGCGAAAUCCAAUGGCGAAGAGCCACGCAACCAAAGCGUAGUAUAACUAUUUCGUUAUGGAAGCGUGGGUGCGUCUGCCGUAACCCCCAAUUUCUUAGUUUUUGACCUCGGAUCAGGUAGGGAUACCCGCUGAACUUAAGCAUAUCAAUAAGCGGAGGA